rnacentral:lncRNA from 1 species
GGAAACCUGGGCAUACAAUGUCAGAUCUCAUUUCUCUGAUGAUAAGGAUUUAGAUAAGUAUGUGGUGCUUCAGGUCAAGUGCUUGUCAGGUUCACUGCUCCCUUCUGGGAAGUCUCAGAAUGCCUGCCAGGCUCACACUCACCUAAAGCAUAGGUCAUUGUACUCUGUGCUGUGUGAGGUGACUACUAGAUUAAUUCCUUCUGAUUAGCUUGUGCACAGGUCCCAAGGAAACAUACCAUGAACAAGCUAGAGCCACAAUGAAGAAGAAAGGGGAGAUCAGUGAGCACUAGCAGGAUAAAUACGAUAGAAUCAAGCCCAUUCCCAAUUUCCCCCUCCCUGGACUCGUACUUUUAAUACACACAUUCAUCUAUAAUUCUUUUAUUCAGUAUAGGACAGAAAGAGCUAGAGAGAGAGAGCACCCUUUGUCUUACUCAUGUGCCUUCUAAAUAUAAGCAUUGUCACUCAUUUUAUUUUUUUCCCAAGUGCUUCUUAUUCUUUAGAGCCAGCUCAGUUUAAUUUAUCAAUGAAACAUACAACAAUGACUGUAUUUUAGAUGUAUGAAAGUCAUCUGGAACUUAACAUAUCACAAACAUCUCCUGAUUUCCUCCCUGCCAAUAAAGUCUUCUUCCCAUAGUCCACUUAUCUAGUUUGAUGACAAAUCAGCUCUUCUAUUUUUCUGGGUCCAAACUUGGAUGAUCAGCCUUAAUGGCUAUUUUUUUUUUCUCUCUUACGUUCCAUAUUCAAUCAACUCUUCUAAAUAUAUCCAGGAUAUAAAUUCUUCUCAUCCCCUCCACUGCCAGCAAUCUGGUGAGGGCCUCUUACUUGGUUUUACUGAAAUAGCUUCCUACUGAUACCCCUCUUUGUCUUUGCCCCAUUCAGCAGUCAGCAUGGUCAAGUUAAAUGGUGAGUCAGGGCCUGUCAGCUUCUGUUACUCGGCUCAGCACCAUAUGAUGCUUUCAUAAUCAGGGUAAAAUUUGAAGUGCUUACAAUGGCUUAUAACACCUUACACAGUUUGUUCACUGUUCCCCACCUCUUUACCUCCGUUAAUACUUUUAAAUGGGUAACACUGGUUUGAUUACUAUUCUGUGAAUGUGCCUGCCAUAUUGUCUCUAUCUGGGGCUCUUCUUUGGGAAGAAGAGGAGUUUGGGUCCUUUCCCAAGCCCCUCCCUAAUGAGAACUUUCCCAUCUGAAAAUGCAGCAUACUCACAUGUCCAUAUCCCUAUGCUCCUUCUCCCUCUUACUUGCAUUAUUUUUCUCCUUAGCAUUUUCCCAUCUACUGUAUAUUGUACUUGAUCUGUUGAAAUAUGUAGAAUCAUAGGUGACUUAAAUUUUUUCUAACUUCUGCAUUUGUCAAUUUUAAACAAUAAAAAUAUUUAGAGGAAGGAGGAAUCACUAUGGGCUGAGAGGGGCAGGAAAGUCAUUGUGGAGGAGAAAAAAAUGUUGCUGCAUCUUGCAAGCUUGGCAGUCUGUCUGAAGAUAGGGAGAGAGCAUCCUAGGUCAUAAUAAAACAUGUACAAAAUAUGGAGGGUACUUCGUGUAUAACUUAUUUUAGAAUCAGUGAAGAGAGUAGCCAGGCAAAUCUCAUUCAUCACCAAAAUGUAGAAUGCACACUUAGAAACAGAUUGUACAAAACCUGAGUCAUUUUAGUCAUGUGUGUUUUUGAAUUGAAGAAUGCUAUGAAGAGAGCAGAGGCAGAAUUACUCUCCUAAAUUCUUCUAAAAUUUUGUUGGUCUUUUCCUUUCUGAUAUUCCCACAUAAUCCUUAGUGUUCGUAGAAACAAUUUGUGUACAUAUUCCAGUAGUUUAAUGUUCCUAAAUAACUCAUUUUAUGCUUUAGUAGAAAAAAUUCUGUUUCAAUUGAGUGGCAUAAUUAUCCGUUUCUAUCAAGAUCUAAUUUUCAAGUCAUUUCCAGUGAAAAUUUUUCUUUAAGUAUUUUUAGAUGGAAAAGGAGAAAAGUAAUUAAAAAUGAUCAACCUAGAAAUAAAGCUUUGCAGACAUAGAAAUACAAAGAAUAUUAAUAUUUUUGCUUUGUUUUAUUUGGCUGAAGAAUUGUCAAAAGAUUUCUAUUAUAAAUGAUUGUUUUAUGCUGAUUUUUAAAUCUCAUUUAUAUCACUUGUGUGAUUGGGUAGAAGAUGCCAUGUUUCAAAAUAUUUCUCAUGUUCCAUAAAUGUGUUUUUCCCAUAUGUGGUACAAGGCUAUGGUUUCAGUGCUUGGCUGUGUCAGUUGAGGCUAGGUCAGUGCUUGGUAGUGAAAUGAAGAGAUGAGACAGAAGUGCCACCAGGCUACUCAGAUGUGCCCUGCCUACUUUGAACUGGGACCUUCUCGGUAAAGGGGUACCAGGCAUGUUAUACAGCUUGUUUAACAGUGGUUAAUUUUUAUUAAGGGACAAAUGAUAUAGUUGGAGAAAAGACCAUCUCAAACACUCUCUAUGGCAGAAUGUAGAAACAUUUUUAAAGUUAUAUUCAAAGAUUUGGGGGCAGGGCAGAGAGUCAUUAUUAUGGGCUAAAAAAAUAGAUAGGAUACUAGUACAAAUCCUAACAAAAAAGAAUAUCACUGAGUGAGGCAGAAUUUUGGGGUCUUUUUUCUCUCAUUGAAAGCUCAUCCUAUCCAUAAUGUUUCUAAUGAUUUUCUGCCAGUGCCUUCAUUCAGAAAGCUCAGUCAUUUCUAAUGUAAGAUGAAUACUCCUGCCCUUUGUAUUUAUGAAAUGGAAUAACAAAUGAAUGUGAGUUUAGUGGAUUCAUUAGGAUUUCUGGGAAAUACUUCCUUUUUAACACAACAGAGGAUGCAAACAUCCAAAACUUUAAUGUAAGGUGAUGGAGUCUCAUAUUAAAAUUAAAACACUCAAUGGAAAUACACACUUACAAAUAGGAAAAGGAAAAGAAAAGCAACUUAUCAGAAUGAUUGUUUAACUCUCAAUCAUACAGAACUAUGACAGAACUUUGUGUACGGUGAGUAGUUGGUAGCGAAGAGUCAGGGUGAAGCUUACGUUAGAGUCGGGGUCUAGUGGAUGAGAGAAUUGAUGAGGUUCAGUCAUAUACUUAAAUUAUUUUCUGAAUUAUCCUACAGUUUCAGGAGACCCUAGCACUGAAAAUGAAAAGGCAUCUGUAAAAUUUAUGACUCUAGAUUUACAGUAUAAAUGGUAGAAUUUUUAUCACCAGAAUCCUGGCCCUUCCCCCUUUUCUCUCUAGCUGCUUAUUCUUUACCCAACCUUCUCUUUGAAUUUCAUUUCUAUCCAUUCAGAUUUGAUCUUCUAUCUCCUCGUUACCCUAUUUUGUACAUCUUUAACUCUCUUGAACCUAUUCCUCACUUUAAUUCAGCAACUUUACUUCAUCUUCUAAUUUAGACUGAGAAGCUAGAUUCUGAUGUGCAGUGUUUCUGCAUCUGCCAAAUUUUACCUCUUGAGUUAGUUUUCUGAUAAGAGGUGGUAAGCUGUCCUUGGAUUGCACCCUAGCUCAGCAUCAUCCUGGCACAGCAUAUCAUUAGCACUUGCCAGUGUCCCCUUCCUGACAGAAACUUCAAUAUUCAACAUAGAGGACACCCAGUAGAUAACAGCAAUCACCAACAGUCCACAUACGGUACACAUAUGCCACAUACGGUUUAAUCUCUCCAAGAACAGUUGUAAGUAUGCAGUUUUAAAUGUGUUGGGAUAGUAUUUUGAUGUACAAAUUACAUUUCCUAGUAUUUCCUGUUACCUUAUGAAAAUUUCUAUUUGGGGGCAGCUAGGCUUGUGACAAAGGUAGUACUGCAGAAUAAAAAAAGUGUCAAUUUUUGGCUUUUGAGUUUUGAAAUAGAUAUUUUGUGGUUCAUGGUAGAGAUGAAUAUUUGAAUUUCAACAGUCUUGGACACAGAAGCUACACUAUUCUGAAGACCAGAUAAAGAGCCAGGCUACCAAGCCCACAAAUUCAACAAAGACUCCAUGGACUGGGGAAGGGAGAAGAGAGUAAAAGGAAAUGUUUGUUAUGAGAGUAUCUCUGAGCUCCUGUCUUUCCCAUCCUUCUCACCACUGUCUUCUCGGAGCAUACUAAAGCCCUGGAGAACUUUAGAGAUUUGAGAUCAGAAGGAAUUUGUGGCUUUACCCAUCUGGAUGGAGCCCACUAGCCAAACAGAAGCCAUAGUCCCCAAUAGUCAUAGUAGGAUUACUAUACCAUUUAAUCAUCAAACCCAAGAUAUUUUUGAGGGCAAUAAAGGUAUGGAAAUGUAAAUUUGGAAGAAUUCCUGGGAAACAGAUAUCAGCCAGGACUAUCUAAGGGAAACCAGGAUUUAUGAUAACUUAUGAUAAUAAUAUGAGAAAAUACAAGAAUUGUGUUUAAUGUAGACAGAAAGUAGAAUAGUGGUUAUUAGGGAUUCUGAAGAGGAUGUAAAUGGGGAGUUAUUGUUUAAUGGACAUAAGAGUUUCAGUUUGGAAUGAUGAACAAGUUAUGGAGAUGGAUGAUAGUAAUGGUUGCAUGAUGUGAAUAUUAUUGGUCUUAAUGCCACUGGAUUAUACACUUAAAAUGGUUAAAAUGGCAGGUUUUGUGUUAAUGUAUAUUUGACAACAAAAGAUUAUUAAAAAAACUGUUUAUUAGAAAGUUGUUAAGUUGAUGAGUCUGAAGAGGCCACAUAGUUUUUUAGCACAGCUCAGAGGGUGAAAAAUAUUCUCACAUAUGUGUUCUUGAGGAUUUAGAUCUCAAAUUAGAAAAAUAUAUAUUAACCCUGUGUAUACUGCUGUCAGUGAUAUACAUUUUUUAAAUAAUACAUAUGCUAAUUUUAGGUACCAUUUUGCAUAUAAACCUGAGUGUUCUCUUGAGCAUACAUGCUAGACUUAUAUAUGUGUCCUGUUAUCUUUCUUUAUUUUGGGAUAGUAGCAACUUUAUUGAAAAGCAUUAUUUUAUGUAGAGAAGGAUACUAACCCUUCAACUUGACUGCAUUAGUCAACAGGACAAAAGUGUCACCUGCAGGUUUCUAACUAGUAUGAAUUCUGCAUUUCUCUCCCCAUUAAUCAUACUCUUUCUUUGAGAUGAUAAUGUUCUCACCCAUCAGAAAAAGUAAAGGUUUAUAGCUUAAAAAAGUAUAUUAUUCUUCAGUCCAAGACAUUGCCAUAGGAAGACCCUGAAAUAGAACAAAUAGAAUGGACUGGUGGUUACUUAAUUUUUUUAAAAAAAGAAUGCGUUCAGUUUAAUCUAAGUGGACUGGCAAACAAAUGCUUUGCAUCCAAACUAACUGUCCUUGGGGUGGUUUUUAGAGGUAUUGUGAAUAUAUUAGAGAUUUCAAAUUAAUUUCAUAUUCUCAAGUUGUUGUGUGAAAAGGAAAAUAAUUUCUAAUCCCUUUUUGGCAGAUCCUGAUGAAAUGUUUGGCAAAAAGCUGUAUAUUUCAUGAAGAUGGAAAUAGUUUACAUCAAAUUAGAGAAAUAGCAUAGGUACUGUUAUCAAUACAUGAUUAAAUUUCAGUAUAUACAAAACGGCAACAUUUCUGACAUCCUUACUUUUUAGACAGUGCAUCUCUGGAAUUCUUAGUUUAUAUUCUAGUCCUUAUAUUAUUUAUUUAUUUACAAAGCAAUUUCUGUCUAGUAGAGACAGAUUUUCAUUCAUUGUUUGGGUUGUUUGCAAACAGUAUGCAAACCAUUAAAUUUAGUGACAUAAACAUUUCCCUUUCAGAUAUUCUUUCUUUCCUUUACAGAAGUGUUUGCUUGGCUUUUUUCUUUUAUAAUUUUUCAUUUUAAAAUGUUUUCUUUUAAAAUUUCUUUUUAAAAAUUUUAACAUGUUAAAAUAUUGACAACAUGUCAAAUUUAGAAAAUACCUUCGAAGUAAGCUGGUUCUAGUCGCCUCAUAUUUAAACUAACCUCCUUAAAUCAAUUUCCAGACUAGGAGAAAGGAUUUGAAUUAUUUUUUCUUAAAUUUGAUUAGAGUAUGGUUGAUUUACAGUGUUGUAUUACUUUCAGGUAUACAGCAAAAUGAAUCAGUUAUAUUUUUAUAUAUCCAUUCUUUUUCAGAUUAUUUUCCCAUAUAGGUUAGUACAGGAUUUUGAUUUCCCUUUGCUAUAUCGUAGGUCCUUCUUAGUUAUCUGUUUUAUAUAUUGUGGUGUGUAUGUAUAAUCCCAAACCCUUCAUUUGUCCCUGCCCACCCCUACCCCCAGUUUUCCCCUUUGGUAAUUAUAAGUUUUGAUUUUGAGAAGUUCCCAUUGUGGCACAGCGGAAACGAAUCCUACUAGUAUCCAUGAGGAUGUGGGUUCAGUCCUUGGCUUCCUCAGUAGGUAAAGGAUUUGGCAUUGCUGUGAGCUGUGGUGUACUUUGUACACACAGCUUGGAUCCUGCGCUGCUGUGGCUGUGGUGUAGACCCC